rnacentral:rRNA from 2 species
UGAGGUAACGGCUCACCAAGGCGACGAUGCGUAGCCGACCUGAGAGGGUGAUCGGCCACACUGGGACUGAGACACGGCCCAGACUCCUACGGGAGGCAGCAGUAGGGAAUCUUCCGCAAUGGACGAAAGUCUGACGGAGCAACGCCGCGUGAGUGAUGAAGGUUUUCGGAUCGUAAAGCUCUGUUGUUAGGGAAGAACAAGUGCAAGAGUAACUGCUUGCACCUUGACGGUACCUAACCAGAAAGCCACGGCUAACUACGUGCCAGCAGCCGCGGUAAUACGUAGGUGGCAAGCGUUGUCCGGAAUUAUUGGGCGUAAGGGCUCGCAGGCGGUUUCUUAAGUCUGAUGUGAAAGCCCCCGGCUCAACCGGGGAGGGUCAUUGGAAACUGGGAAACUUGAGUGCAGAAGAGGAGAGUGGAAUUCCACGUGUAGCGGUGAAAUGCGUAGAGAUGUGGAGGAACACCAGUGGCGAAGGCGACUCUCUGGUCUGUAACUGACGCUGAGGAGCGAAAGCGUGGGGAGCGAACAGGAUUAGAUACCCUGGUAGUCCACGCCGUAAACGAUGAGUGCUAAGUGUUAGGGGGUUUCCGCCCCUUAGUGCUGCAGCUAACGCAUUAAGCACUCCGCCUGGGGAGUACGGUCGCAAGACUGAAACUCAAAGGAAUUGACGGGGGCCCGCACAAGCGGUGGAGCAUGUGGUUUAAUUCGAAGCAACGCGAAGAACCUUACCAGGUCUUGACAUCCUCUGACAACCCUAGAGAUAGGGCUUUCCCUUCGGGGACAGAGUGACAGGUGGUGCAUGGUUGUCGUCAGCUCGUGUCGUGAGAUGUUGGGUUAAGUCCCGCAACGAGCGCAACCCUUGAUCUUAGUUGCCAGCAUUUAGUUGGGCACUCUAAGGUGACUGCCGGUGACAAACCGGAGGAAGGUGUGGAUGACGUCAAAUCAUCAUGCCCCUUAUGACCUGGGCUACACACGUGCUACAAUGGACAGAACAAAGGGCUGCGAGACCGCAAGGUUUAGCCAAUCCCACAAAUCUGUUCUCAGUUCGGAUCGCAGUCUGCAACUCGACUGCGUGAAGCUGGAAUCGCUAGUAAUCGCG